CCUACGUGAGUCUGCAGUGAGGAAUAUUGGUCAAUGGGCUUACGCCUGAACCAGCCAAGUCGCGUGAGGGAAGACUGCACUAUGGGUUGUAAACCUCUUUUGUCAGGGAGCAAUUGGCGCUACGUGUAGCGUUAUCGAGAGUACCUGAAGAAAAAGAAUCGGCUAACUCCGUGCCAGCAGCCGCGGUAAUACGGAGGAUGCGAGCGUUAUCCGGAUUUAUUGGGUUUAAAGGGUGCGUAGGCGGAAUGCCAAGUCAGCGGGAAAAUCGCGGGGCUCAACCUCGCUCAGCCGUUGAAACUGGUGUUCUUGAGUGGGCGAGAAGUAUGCGGAAUGCGUGGUGUAGCGGUGAAAUGCAUAGCUAUCACGCAGAACUCCGAUUGCGAAGGCAGCAUACCGGCGCCCAACUGACGCUGAAGCACGAAAGCGUGGGUAUCGAACAGGAUUAGAUACCCUUGUAGUC
rnacentral:rRNA from 1 species